UGGGAAUUAUCACUGGAGCACAAAGGUACAAGUGGGCCUAAUGGAGAAAGUGCUGUGUUGUGUCUGGAAACCUGGCCAAAGCCUACAUACAUCCUGCCUCAGCUUUCCUGAUCUUCGGGUUAAAGCAUCACUGAUUUGUGACUUAUACGGUGCCCUGGCUUCAAGAAGAUCUUUCUCAGUUAUCUUUCUCUUCCAAUGAUAAGAAAUUCUCCUGCAUUAUACAGGAACGACUGCAGAUGCAUUACCACAACUUUGCAGAAAUCUUCCUAAUCUGAAAAACAAACCACAUUUAAUUUAUCAGAAAUGUACAUAUGAAUACAAGUGCCCUCAGGAGUAGAGGCAUCAAAUCCUCAUUGGAGUUAACACAGGAUCCUAGCAUAAUCAUCAUCCGAGGCUUCAUCCAGCAACUGAGGAAAGCAAAUGCAGAAACCCACAGCCAAACAUUAGAUGGAGUUUAAGAGAAUCCUGCAGAAGAGGGAAGGAAGAAUUGAAGGAGCCAGUGUUGGAAUCAAGGACAUCACAAGAAAACCCACAGAAUCAACUAACCAGGGCUCAUAGGGGCUAACCUAGAUCAAACCUACAAUCAGGGAGUCUAUAGAUCUGGCCAAG
ensembl:lncRNA LOC108350669 uncharacterized LOC108350669